UACGGAGGGGGCUAGCGUUGUUCGGAAUUACUGGGCGUAAAGCGCACGUAGGCGGCUUUGUAAGUUAGAGGUGAAAGCCCGGAGCUCAACUCCAGAACUGCCUUCGAUACUGAGAGUCUCGAGUCCGGGAGAGGUGAGUGGAACUGCGAGUGUAGAGGUGAAAUUCGUAGAUAUUCGCAAGAACACCAGUGGCGAAGGCGGCUCACUGGCCCGGUACUGACGCUGAGGUGCGAAAGCGUGGGGAGCAAACAGG
rnacentral:rRNA from 1 species